rnacentral:lncRNA from 1 species
AGAAAGGCCACUUGGGCUACCUGAAGUGAAAGCGGGUGUGUGUGGCUGGGUAGAGAGCAAACUCACAGGAAAUGAAGACUGGUCAGACCUCAGAUGGUCACAUCUUUAGAUCCUGAAGCAAGAGCUGCAGCCCAUCUCAGGAGUCCAAAUGCAGCAACAGAUUUUGCCUCUAAGCAAGUAAGAUACACCAUAAAAACAAGCAACUUUCCUUACCAGCCCAUCUCUCAUUUGAAUUUUUGAUGCCUCAGUGGUCAGUUUGAGAUGAUAACUGGUAAUAAGAAAGUCUCUGUAUUGGAAGGAGGAACACAUACACCAUUUCCCCCAGGGCCUCCUUAUUUUGC